UAGACAGAUUAUUGCAUUCGACUGUAUUUACGGCGUGAAAUAGGGGAUUACACUGUUUUUAAACGGAAAGUGAAUCAAUUAACAUAAUAGACUCCU
rfam:Nicotiana attenuata strain TT chromosome 1, whole genome shotgun sequence.